ACUGGAACAAGGAAGAGAAUCAGGGGUCGGGGGAAAGAGGCGUCUGCCACCGUGUCACAGAUGGGCUGGGUUAGACACAAGCGCAUUUUCUGCCUGCUUCUACCUGCAGCCCCAAAGACAGGACUCCUGCUCAGGGAGGACUCACAGACAGACAGCAGGGAUCCCAUGGAACUAUGCUCAAAAUAAAUGUCACUCCAGCUCUUGUAUAUAAAGCACAUAAAGGCAGGCCUGCUGUGGCGGAAGCAGAGCUGGGGGCGCAUCCCCACCCCACGCCCCAUUCCCUUGCUCCCCACUAGGUGCCAAGGUGCCCAGAGAAGUACAGCGCAAGCAUAUCUGACCUCCUUCAGCCCAUUCAUCUUACAGAUGGAAAGGAGCGCAGAAAGUUUAAGAAAAAGGCCAGAUGUGCACCUCUGGAACCUUGAGCCACCAUGGAAGGAGCCUGGUCUCCCCGAAACCACCCUACGGAAGAGAGAGUGUGGAGAACCCACCUAGAAACAGAUGCCUGAGAAGCCUCCAGCUCAAAUCUUCCCAGCCCAACAACCAGACAGGGGAGAGAGCCAAGCUCCGGAUAAUUCUAACCCCCAGCCUCUGAGCUGCCCCAGCCAACACUGAAUGCAGUAGAAAUGUGCUUGUCUCCACAGCCUGCACUCAUGUGCAAAGUCAACAUCAACGUUAUCUUUUUGUGUGUGUGUGUGUGUGACAGGGUCUCACAUGUUGCCCAGGCUGAUUGGAAACCCCCAGGCUCAAGCAAUCCUCCUGCCUCGGCUUUCCAAAGUGCUGGGAUUAUAGGCAUGAGCUACCAUGCUGGGCCCAUUAUCCUUUUAAGCCAUUACAUUUUGAGGUGGUUUGUUACACUGCCAUAGUAAUUGGAAAACCAACCAUGUAAGGGCUGGCUUCAUGGGUGUGCGUCCUGUGAAGUCACAAGUUCCCCGCUCUCAGAGGGGCCCUGUGCUUAGGCUAAUGCUCUGUUGUCACUAUCUUGAAACUCUCAAUCAUUUUUGCACCGAGCCCUGCAAAUUAUGCACCUGGUCCUGAGUCCUACCCCGUGAAUGACUAUCACUCUCCUCUUCUUGGUCCUAUGUACCCCUCAUAUAUUUAACUCUUCAGUAUGUUUAAUGGACAGAAAACAGAGCUUUGGAAACAGCCAGACCUACUUUUAAACCCAAGCUCCACCACUGAGUGUCCCUGUGACCUUGGGUAAAUUAAUUUUUCUCACUAAACUUCAGUUACCUUAUCCACAUACUGGAGAUAAUAUUUACCUCACAGGGUUACAGUGAACAUUAAAUGAAUAAUGAAUUACUUCUGGCACAAACUAAUAUACAAGCCUUUUAGUGUUAUCCCUGUCUCUGGUAUUUUCUCCACUUAAAGAACCCUCCACACCCACAUCAGAUAAAUCAUCCUUUGCUAGAAUUCCACUGCUCUAGAACCUUCAGUGGCUCCCUAUUUCGAUUACAGUCCAGAAUCUUCACCUGGGCAUUCAAGGCCUUCUACAAUCAGAUAUCAAGUUACUGUUGACUCAUCUUCCAGUGCUGUAUUAUGAUAGCACACUGCUUCAAACCAAGGAGUUAUUGGAGUCUCCUAAAAUACUUUCCACUUUCACUUUUCAGUGCUUUUGCCCAACCUGUUCCAUCCUCAAUCUGGAAUGUCCUGGGCCCUCCUGACAACCUUAGCAUUCGGUUAUAGCCCACCUCAAAAAUGCAAGUGAUUGGGCUGAGUACAAUGGCUCACGCCUGUAAUCCCAGUACUUCGCAGGCCAAGGCAAAAGGAUUGCUUGAAGCCAGGAGUUCGAGACCAGCCUGGGCAGCAAAAUGAGACCCCCCCCAUCUCUAAAAAAAACAAACAAAAAUUGUUUUUAAUUAGACAGCAUGGUGGCUCAAAUCUAUGGUCCCAGCUACUUGAGAGGCUGAUGCAGGAGGAUCACUUCAGCCCAGGAGUUGAAGGCUGCAGUGAGCUAUAAUUACACCACUGCACUCCAGCCUGGAUGACAGCAAGAUGCCACCAAAAAAAAAAAAAAAAACAAAGGCCGGGCAUGGUGGCUUACACCUGUAAUCCCAGCACUUUAGGAGGCCAAGGUGGAAGGAUCACCUGAGGUCAGGAGUUUGAGACCAGCCUGGCCAACAUGGUGAAACCCCAUCUCUACUAAAAAUAUAAAAAUUAGCCAGGCACAGUGGCACGUGCCUGUAAUCCCAGCUACUUCGGAGGCUGAGACACGAGAAUUGCUUGAACCCAGGAGGCAGAGGUUGCAAUGAGCCAAGAUUGUGCCAUUGCACUCCAGCUGGGGUCACAGAGCAAGACUGUCUCAAAAAAAGAGAGAGAAAAAAAAAAGUAAAUGAUGUGGACUUUCAGUAUAAUUUUUUUUUUUUUGAGAUAGAGUCUCACUCUGCUGCCCAGGCUGGAGUGCAAUGGCGCGAUCUCAGCUCACCACAACCUCCACCUCCCGAGUUCAAGCGAUUCUCCUGCCUCAGCCUCCCGAGUAGCUGGGAUUACAGGCAUGUGCCACCAUGACCUGCUAAUUUUGUAUUUUUAGUAGAGAUGGGGUUUCGGCAUCUUGGCCAGGCUGGUCUUGAACUCCUGACCUCAGGUGAUCUGCCCACCUUGGCCUCCCAAAGUGCUGGGAUUACAGGGAUGAGCCACCAGGCCAGGCCUAUUCUCUCUCUCUCUCUCUCUCUCUCUCUCUCUCUCUCUCUCUCUCUCUCUCUCUUUUUUUGAGACAGAGUCUCGCUCUGUCACCCAGGCUGGAGUGCAGUGGCGCAAAAUCUACUCACCAUAGUCUCCACUUCCCAGGCUCAAGCGAUUCUCCUGCCUCAGCCUCCCAAGUAGCUGGGAUUACAGGUGUGCACCACUACACCUGGCUAAUUUUUGUAUUUUUAGUAGAGACGGGGUUUCACCACGUUGGACAGGCUGUUCUCGAACCCCUGAUCAAGUGAUCUACCCACCUUGGCCUCCCAAAGUGCUGGGAUUACAGGCAUGAGCCACUGCACCUGGCCAAUAUUCUAAGUAAUGCUUCCAACUGUGACAUUUUAGUGCAAGUAACCCACCUCAGUGGUUUAAGGAAAGGCUAAGACACCUCAUGUAAUGUGUAAUGAGGUUAGUGCGAUGUGUUGACACUUAGACAUUUCUAAACAUUAACAAAAGCUUUUGUGAGAGAAAUAAAAUAGUUAUUGAACCACUGCCUGUCCAAUAAAAAUGUCCCUAACCAUUUUCUAUAACUAUAAUGUGCAUGAACAUAAUUACCCUAAUAAACACAUGAAAGCCACCAUAA